rnacentral:rRNA from 1 species
AUUGAACGCUGGCGGCAUGCCUUACACAUGCAAGUCGAACGGUAACAGGUUAAGCUGACGAGUGGCGAACGGGUGAGUAAUAUAUCGGAACGUGCCCAGUCGUGGGGGAUAACGUAGCGAAAGCUACGCUAAUACCGCAUACGAUCUGCGGAUGAAAGCGGGGGAUCGCAAGACCUCGCGCGAUUGGAACGGCCGAUAUCAGAUUAGGUUGUUGGUGAGGUAAAAGCUCACCAAGCCUGCGAUCUGUAGCUGGUCUGAGAGGACGACCAGCCACACUGGAACUGAGACACGGUCCAGACUACUACGGGAGGCAGCAGUGGGGAAUUUUGGACAAUGGACGCAAGUCUGAUCCAGCAAUGCCGCGUGCAGGACGAAGGCCUUCGGGUUGUAAACUGCUUUUGUACGGAACGAAACGGUGAGCUCUAAUACAGUUUGCUAAUGACGGUACCGUAAGAAUAAGCACCGGCUAACUACGUGCCAGCCGCCGCGGUAA